rnacentral:lncRNA from 1 species
UUAAACUUCAAUUCUAUGAUAGAGAAUAGGGUGAUGGAUCCUUACUCGAUUUUGACGCCUGAAAAGCUAAGUUAUUUACUGCGCCUACGGGGGUCCCUAGGUUCCCUGAAUUUUUCUUCGGAUAGUACCUAUAAAUGUUCUAAAUAAACCAAAAUCAGUCUUUGGGCCCAGUCGACAAUUUCAGAAUUUCAGCAUAGCAGCUCUACCAUGCUCCAACGACGGUGCUGCUGCCUGCGGCGGUGGUCCGCCUUGAGUCGGCCGAUUUUGCAUUGAUCCCUGUGAGAAAAUACGUUAAAGGGCUUCGAUUGGCCCAAAAAAAAUACGAAAAAUCGAAACUCACGGGCGGUGGGGCUCUCUGGUGCGGUGGCUCCUCCGGCUCACGUUGUAGUUGGGUGUUUUGCUUCAAUUAACCUGUAGAGAAGAAAACGAUGAUCACAACAAUGGAAGAAUACACAAAAUGUGAAUCAUGAAAGGGCCUCAUCGGAGGCAUUUUGUGAAAUUUUCUGCGGCAGCGCCGCC